UACAGAGGGGGCAAGCGUUGUUCGGAAUUACUGGGCGUAAAGGGCGCGUAGGCGGCCUGCUAAGUCGAACGUGAAAGCCCCGGGCUCAACCUGGGAAUUGCAUUUGAGACUGCAUAGCUAGGGUGCGGAAGAGGGAAGCGGAAUUUCCGGUGUAGCGGUGAAAUGCGUAGAUAUCGGAAGGAACACCAGUGGCGAAAGCGGCUUCCUGGUCCAGCACCGACGUUCAGGCACGAAAGCGUGGGGAGCAAACAGG
rnacentral:rRNA from 1 species